UACGAAGGGGACUAGCGUUGUUCGGAAUCACUGGCGUAAAGCGCACGUAGGCGGAUGUGUCAGUCAGGGGUGAAAUCCCGGGGCUCAACCUCGGAACUGCCUUUGAUACAGCACGUCUCGAGUCCGGAGAGGUGGGUGGAAUUCCUAGUGUAGAGGUGAAAUUCGUAGAUAUUAGGAAGAACACCGGUGGCGAAGGCGGCCCACUGGUCCGGUACUGACGCUGAGUGCGAAAGCGUGGGGAGCAAACAGG
rnacentral:rRNA from 1 species